rnacentral:rRNA from 1 species
GACGGAGGAUGCAAGCGUUAUCCGGAAUUAUUGGGCGUAAAGGGCUCGUCGGCGGUCUGUCGCGUCGGGAGUGAAAACUCAGGGCUUAACCCUGAGCCUGCUUCCGAUACGGGCAGACUAGAGGUAUGCAGGGGAGAACGGAAUUCCUGGUGUAGCGGUGAAAUGCGCAGAUAUCAGGAGGAACACCGGUGGCGAAGGCGGUUCUCUGGGCAUUACCUGACGCUGAGGAGCGAAAGUGUGGGGAGCGAACAGG